rnacentral:lncRNA from 1 species
AAAAGGUGGCUGCCGGCACGGCAUGUGGUUUUUUGUUGUUGUUGGCAGUCGGCAGUUGGAGUCGGCAUGGCAACAGAAGAAAGAGAGGGGGAGAGAGAAGAGGUGGCGGGGCUCAUAAGAGCAAAGUCAUUUUAGGCCAUAGCCUCACCUUAAUCAAGCGAUGACGUCAACCUCCUAUCGAAGGCUGCUGGACAGCCAUCAGCAGAGGAAACCGUGCUCCCCCAACGCCCUCCUUACUGCCCACUCCCUCCUGAGAUGGGACGCCGGACCAGGACGUGCCAGUUCACGCAGCUGCACGAGGAUCUAAAUCAGGUAACCAGUCUGGGAAGCCUCCAGAGACCAGUGGAGCCCAGGGAGCAAGCCCUCUGAAGUUCCCCAAGCCAGCUGAACACCACAUCCCUAAUUAAGCUCUCUGGUGUUAACUUCAGAGCUACUUUUCCCCAAACAGUGCAAGUGAAGAACAGAGUGUACUGGCUGUAAUGUAUAUGUUCUGGCUUUUGUUGGUUUUGCUCUGACCCUUAAAGUUAUUUAAAUUUCUUUGUGUGUGUGUAUGUGUGUUUAAUUUAAUAU